CAAUGAUUUUCACUUUCCAGUGUUAGAUAUAGAAUAACUAGAUAAUUCUACAAAUCCAUCAAGUAGAGAGGGCAAUCUGGCUCUCUUAUUUCUAUACCAAUUUCCUGUAAAUGGUACCUUUACAGGAAUAGAGGGGCCAUAGUUUCACUUUCAAUAUGACUCUGUUUUAUGACUGUCCCAUCUCAUCGAGGAUAUAAUGUUGAAGGCCGACCUGGAUGCUGCAGGCUGUUGUAUUCAAGAAGCAGAAUCCUCCAUUUAUAGUCAUUAGGAAAAUGGCAAUCUUUGUGGUCAAUAUGCAUGUAAAUGUGUUUUUUUUUUCCAGAACACAAUUAAGGUACCAAGACUUGCUUCUACAGUGCCUUCAGAAAUAUUUAAUUCAUACUCCAUGACUUAUUCCACAUUUUGUUGUGUCACAGCUUGAAUUUAAAAUGGUUUAAAUCGUUGUUUUUUUUACUCAUCUACAGACAAUUCCCCAUAAUGACAAAGUGAAAACAUGUUUUUAUCCAGAAGUUUCCUGGGGAAACCAUUAUGGGUGGCAUUUCCUGCGGAUGUAGCGGUAUUGAGUUGACCAGCUGUAUUUUUGGUUUUAGAAGCUAGCCAACUGGGAUAAGGAAUAAUAAAAUAUUCACUCGCUAGAUGUUGAAAUUGGAGUCCUUCGACCAUAAACAUAAAACUAAAUCAGAAUGUUCCUGUCACGAGAUGGUACAGUUUCCAUUGCCUCCCAAAUGACGACAAAGUGAAAAGAAAUUGUCUCAAAAACUAAAAAAACAAAACAAUCCUGGUUUCGCUUUGUUGAUAAAACGCCAACGCACUAUAACCCAUACACAACACUCUCUGGGUUAUGAGACGCCGCCUCAGCAGGAGGGUUGACAUACAUGUCACAAGAUUAGGUCUUUACCAAAUAAUUUCAUGAACUAAUCAUCUAUAUUCAUAUUCAACUAAUCAUCAACUGCAGAUGAGUCUGGUGUGGUAGAGGUUUCUGAGGAGCCAGGUUCUAUUUCAAAGACCUUCCAUGAUACCCAAACACAGUGGUCAGACCCAGCAAUGGAGUACCACACCUACUCCAAAGGACCUAUUAUCACAUGUGGCAUGACAACUGCACCAGCCCCUGAGAGGUCACUAUCUGUUGCAGAUGUUACAUUGAAAGAUGAUGCAGACUGUCUGCUGUACACAGGGAUUCCACUACUAGAAUUCAACACUCUUGUGUCUUGCUUCCAAGGUUUUGCCCCCACAUCAUCAGCAAUGCCAGUUGUAGACCAAAUUCUGUUGACCCUAAUGAAACUUAGACAGAACUUUGUAAUUGCUGAUUUAGCAAGACACUUCAAAAGGUCACCUGGUCAGGUCAGUAAAACAUUGAAAUUCUGGAUAGAUGUUAUUGCUGAGCACACCAAGGAUCUCAUUCCAUGGCUGCCUCGUGAGACAAUAAAGGCUGCCAUGCCACAGGUUUUUCAGGAUCAUUUUUCAAACACAACUUGUGUUAUUGACUGCACAGAAAGUGUUUUGCAGAAGACUAAAAUCUGGACUCAAGACCUGAAUUUUACAGUCACUAAUAUGCCAGUAAUACUGUAAAAUAUCUAGUUGCAACUGCUCCAUCAGGAAUGGCUGUGUUAAUUUCAGAGGCUUAUGGUGGGAAAUGUAGCGAUUGGUUCAUAACACAGAACUCAGGGUUUCUCGACCAUUUGCGUGCUGGAGAUGAGGUGAUGAUGGUCCGUGGCUUCACAAUUAGGGACUUGCUAGAGGAACGGAAUGUACACUUGGUCUUACCAGCAUUUACACGCAAGAAAUGCCAGUUGACAAAUUAGCAGGUCACUCGUACACAACGCAUUGCUAAUGUCCGUAUUCAUGUGGAACGGCAAUAAGGCGUCUUAAGGGUGUACAAGAUUCUCUCACAAACUGUGCCAAUUAGUUUGGUCCCUAAAAUUGACAACAUACUUAAAAUGUGUGCAGCUCUUGUAAAUCUGAGAGGAGAGCUUAUUUCUAGCAAAUAGAGACUAUGUCUAACACAAUCAACAUGACUAACAUGCACUGAUCGUUUAUGUAUUACAAAAAUGUACAUCACUUUAUUCCUGUUAAUGAAUUACAAAACAUUGUCAGCAUUUGUAACAUUAUUUUAUUCCUACUGUUAGCUCUAUUUGUUUUAAAUCAUUGUUUUGUCAGCUCACACAACUGCCUGUACCAACUUGCCUAUUUUAACUGGUUCUGUCUAAUGAACAUUGACUUUGUCCUAUGAAAAAUAAACUGGUGACAUCAUGACACUGUGUUUGUGUAAGUAUAUCUCUUAAUAAAUUGAUUAUCUAA